GCUGGGCAUGGUGGCGCAUGCCUGUAAUCCCAGCUACUCAGGAGGCUGAGGCAGGAGAAUCGCUUGAACCCAGGAGGCGGAGGGUGCAGUGAGUCCAGAUCAUGCCAUUGCACUCCAGCCUGGGCAACAGAGAGAGGCCCUGUCUCAA
ensembl:misc_RNA Metazoa_SRP Metazoan signal recognition particle RNA